UACGGAGGGAGCUAGCGUUGUUCGGAAUUACUGGGCGUAAAGCGCACGUAGGCGGCUAUUCAAGUCAGAGGUGAAAGCCCGGGGCUCAACCCCGGAACUGCCUUUGAAACUAGAUAGCUAGAAUCUUGGAGAGGUCAGUGGAAUUCCGAGUGUAGAGGUGAAAUUCGUAGAUAUUCGGAAGAACACCAGUGGCGAAGGCGACUGACUGGACAAGUAUUGACGCUGAGGUGCGAAAGCGUGGGGAGCAAACAGGAUUAGAAACCCGCGUAGUCC
rnacentral:rRNA from 1 species